UACGGAGGAUGCGAGCGUUAUCCGGAUUUAUUAGGUUUAAAGGGUGCGCAGGCGGAUUUUUAAGUCAGCGGUCAAAUCGUGGGGCUCAACCCCAUCCAGCCGUUGAAACUGGGGAUCUAGAGUGUGCGAGAGGUAUGCGGAAUGCGUGGUGUAGCGGUGAAAUGCAUAGAUAUCACGCAGAACCCCGAUUGCGAAGGCAGCAUACCGGUGCACAACUGACGCUCAGGCACGAAAGCGUGGGUAUCGAACAGG
rnacentral:rRNA from 1 species